UCGAGCCUCCUGUCGGGAUCGAACCGACGACCUGCCGCUUACAAGGCGGCCGCUCUGGCCAUCUGAGCUAAGGAGGC
rnacentral:tRNA from 1 species